UACGAAGGGGGCUAGCGUUGCUCGGAAUCACUGGGCGUAAAGCGCACGUAGGCGGCUUUUUAAGUCAGGGGUGAAAUCCUGGAGCUCAACUCCAGAACUGCCUUUGAUACUGGGAAGCUUCGAGUCCGGAAGAGGUGAGUGGAACUGCGAGUGUAGAGGUGAAAUUCGUAGAUAUUCGCAAGAACACCAGUGGCGAAGGCGGCUCACUGGUCCGGUACUGACGCUGAGGUGCGAAAGCGUGGGGAGCAAACAGG
rnacentral:rRNA from 1 species